AGAGUUUGAUCAUGGCUCAGAACGAACGCUGGCGGCGUGCCUAACACAUGCAAGUCGAACGCGAAAGGGGGCAACCCCCGGUAGCGUGGCAGACGGGUGAGUAACACGUGGGUAACCUACCCGGAGGUGGGGGAUAACCCUUCGAAAGGAGGGCUAAUACCGCAUGACAUCGUGGAGGCUUCGGUCUUCGCGAUCAAAGCUGGCCUCUGUUUACAAGCUAGCGCCACUGGAGGGGCCCGCGCCCCAUUAGCUAGUUGGUGAGGUAACGGCUCACCAAGGCUACGAUGGUAGCCGGCCUGAGAGGGCGAUCGGCCACACUGGAACUGAGACACGGUCCAGACUCCUACGGGAGGCAGCAGUGAGGAAUCUUGCGCAAUGGGCGAAAGCCUGACGCAGCGACGCCGCGUGGAGGAUGAAGGUCUUCGGAUUGUAAACUCCUGUCGAGUGGGACGAAUGCCAUGAGGGCGAAUAUCCCUCGUGGUUGACGGUACCGCUGGAGGAAGCCCCGGCUAACUCCGUGCCAGCAGCCGCGGUAAUACGGAGGGGGCCAGCGUUGUUCGGAAUCAUUGGGCGUAAAGGGCGCGUAGGCGGCCGAUCAAGUCGGAGGUGAAAUCCCUCGGCUCAACUGAGGAAUUGCCUCCGAUACUGUUCGGCUUGAGUCCUGGAGAGGGUAGUGGAAUUCCGAGUGUAGCGGUGAAAUGCGUAGAGACUCGGAAGAACACCAGUGGCAAAGGCGGCUACCUGGACAGGUACUGACGCUGAAGCGCGAAAGCUAGGGGAGCAAACAGGAUUAGAUACCCUAGUAGUCC
rnacentral:rRNA from 1 species